AUACUCUAUCCAACAGAGGACAGUGGCUCAUUUCCGCUCUCACAUAACAUUUGCUCCAGAAAUGGAUUUUCUGAAACUUUCCACUUAAAAAGCUGUAGAUUAACUUUAGUGAGGCCAACAUAGUGGGAACUAAGCAGAGCAUAUAACCUCAGACCGUUGGGCAGGCGCACUUUGUCACGGCUCUGCCUUAAUUCACUGCGUAUUACUUUCUUUGGAAUUCGCAACCAGAUUCUACACCAUUCACUUUUAACAUCUGGAAAUACGCAAAGCAUUUGGCUAUUUGUUCACCUUGUUUAAGCUGUCCACCUAUGUCAGGUACCUUGCAUGUGAUUUACACAGUGAAUGGCCCUGCUUUCGGAGCAAGUUAAUGAUAUAAUAUCCCCAUUUAUAUUCAGAGCAGUCAACACUUUCCAGCUCUCAGAAUAAUAAAAGCACCUGCAUUUAAUAUACAUGGAAGAAUGGAAAGGCAAAUAGCAGAUAAGGCACAAUCAGGGGAAGACAGUUUAUCAGAAACUGAUGUCUCUGAGAACUUCCUCACUUUUGGGCACUGGCAGCUGGAAACCUAACUGUGUAUCUUAGCCUUGUGUGGACCCUAAUGCAACAUAACCAUAUGGAGUCAAAUGGAAAGCUUCGUAUUCGCAAGUCAGAACUGAACAGACCUGGUUUGUAGAGUGGGAUUUAGCACGCUUUCUCUCCUUUUAAGUUACUCUUUGUUGGAGGCCAGUGAUCUCUUCACUGAACUCACUGGGCCUCACCAGAGACCAUAAGGACAUGGGGAAUAUAAGGGACAAGGCACGAGGAGGGCCCAGGUGCGGAGGGGCUGUUGCACGAGCUCGGGCUGGCCCGCAGUCGGCCCUGGUGUUGACGUCUUUGGUGGCAGGGCUCCAGCUCCUUCCCAGAGAGAUCACAAAGUGCCUUUGCUCUUCCCUGCUGCAACUGGAGUAGGAUAUCAUGUGUAGAAAAUGCAAUGGACUGCCCCAUCUUCUGAGAAGAGCUGUAGUCACUCUCUUGUUCCUCCAUUCUGAUGCUUUCGUUUGCUUUUCUAGAGUAGUAGCCCUGGGCACUGGUCAACAGGUGUGUAUUUAAAUGAAAUUUUCCUAAGUAUGAGCAUGAGGGAGAUGAAAUAACUGUCCACUGCAUUUAGAGCCACUCUAUUUUUAUGGAAACGACUCUUCCCAAAAUAUCUCUGUCUCUUCAGCUGGUUUAGUCAGCUCAGACUAUGAUAACAAAAUAACGUAGGUGAGGUGGCUUAAAGAACAGAAAUUUAUUUUCUCUCAGUUCUGAAGGCUGUACGUCUGAGACCAGGGUGCCAGCACGGUCGGGUUCUGGUGAGAGUUCUCCAGCUGGUUUGCAGAUGGUGGGCAUCUCAGUGUGUGCUCACAUGACCUCUUCUUUGGAAAGAGGGAAAGCAAGCUUUGUGGUCUAAGAUGUCUUCUUACAAUGACACUAAUCCAUGAGACUCUCCCCUCAUGAGCUCAUCUAAACCUGUUUACUCUCAAAGGUCCCAUCUCCAGGCACCAUCACACUGUGGGUCAGGGCUUCACCAUAGGAACUGGGGGGGGCUAUGGGGUACAAUUCACUCCAUAGCAUUACCCAGUAGUAUCAUUGUGGCAAUGGUAGUAAGGCAGAGACAAAGAGAGUGACUGCCUGGCAAAAAAAAAAAAAAAAAAAAAAAAAGGUUGACAUGAAGAGUAUUAGUGGUUCACUCCAUGAUGGAACAAAUGUGAAUUAUUAUCCAUUCUUUUCACACACGCCACCCCUCACUGGCCCACUCACCUACAUACCCACUUGAGACUUAAAGAGAUCAUAGGAGAAGGCGUUGUGUCAGGGAUUAAGUGGAAAAGUAACAACUUUCAGGAUGUUUAUGAUGUCAACAUUCUCUUGUCUUUUCUACUAUACUUUCUACCUUCCCCGUAACGGGGACCAAUAACUGGUUUCAGAAUGAUGGAUUAACCCACAAGGGGGCUUCAUUCAUCAAGACGGUUCAGUUAUGUUCUAAAUACCAAAGAUGACAGAACUAAUUUUCAGAAGAUUUUUAAUAACAGGAGUGAAAGUAAAGAGUUUGUGAGGAAACAUGGGUUAAUUACAAGCCCCUUUUUUCAGAGUGUCCCAUUUCAUAUAAUGUUCUCUUUAACGGAAUUCAUCAUUGAAUGCUUUUGGGGAAGUGGGCUGAGAUUUACAUUUUACAACUGGAAAACUGGAAGCUUCUUCAAGGUCAUUAGAAGAGAUCUGGAUUCUCAAUUUAAGCGUGAACUACACAAGACUAAAAAUUAAAAAAAUUUGUUUGGGUUA